ACAUGUCCGCAUGAUUAAAGGUAUUUUCCGGUAGACGAUGGGGAUGCGUUCCAUUAGAUAGUAGGCGGGGUAACGGCCCACCUAGUCAACGAUGGAUAGGGGUUCUGAGAGGAAGGUCCCCCACAUUGGAACUGAGACACGGUCCAAACUCNUACGGGAGGCAGCAGUGAGGAAUAUUGGUCAAUGGGCGAUGGCCUGAACCAGCCAAGUAGCGUGAAGGAUGACUGCCCUAUGGGUUGUAAACUUCUUUUAUAAAGGAAUAAAGUCGGGUAUGCAUACCCGUUUGCAUGUACUUUAUGAAUAAGGAUCGGCUAACUCCGUGCCAGCAGCCGCGGUAAUACGGAGGAUCCGAGCGUUAUCCGGAUUUAUUGGGUUUAAAGGGAGCGUAGAUGGAUGUUUAAGUCAGUUGUGAAAGUUUGCGGCUCAACCGUAAAAUUGCAGUUGAUACUGGAUGUCUUGAGUGCAGUUGAGGCAGGCGGAAUUCGUGGUGUAGCGGUGAAAUGCUUAGAUAUCACGAAGAACUCCGAUUGCGAAGGCAGCCUGCUAAGCUGCAACUGA
rnacentral:rRNA from 1 species